GGGAAGUUACAGAGCUUUGUAGGUAGUGGGUAUUACUUUCAGAGGGAAACUUCACAGUAAGUAGAGUAGAAAUCUUCAGGAAUUCAUAGAGGGAGUUGAUCUCUAUCUAUUUUCCUACGGACAAGCAGAUUUUCCUGCGAGCCGUUUACAAAUGUCCCAAAAUGCCAUGCAAAAACAGAAGGAGAAAACAGAGCAGCAAAAUGCAGAAUUGUUAGAAGGGUAAGAAAAAGUUACGUCUAUCAACACUUCUGAUAACAUCUAAAAGAAGUCCAUAUGACAGGUGUCACAAGACAGAGUUAGACACUGGGAUGUCUUCAGCAAAACCAAGAAAGAGACUCACAAAUACUCUGAGUCCCAGAUGUGCAAGAUGUAGGUAAAAUUACUGCGCAAAAUAAAAUCAGCAUAUGUUUUGUGCAACGCCAACCAUGGGAGCCACGCAGUACAAAGUCAUCUUCUACUGCCCUCUCCUAAGAGCCCUCAAAAAACGAGAGCUAAAUGUGUGAGUACUAAAACCAAGAAAUCGACAGCCCUUGUACUGUGUAUUUAUGCUUCUUA